GAUGAACGCUGGCGGCGUGCCUAAUACAUGCAAGUCGAGCGAACAGACGAGGAGCUUGCUCCUCUGACGUUAGCGGCGGACGGGUGAGUAACACGUGGAUAACCUACCUAUAAGACUGGGAUAAAUUCGGGAAACCGGAGCUAAUACCGGAUAAUAUAUUGAACCGCAUGGUUCAAUAGUGAAAGACGGUUUUGCUGUCACUUAUAGAUGGAUCCGCGCCGCAUUAGCUAGUUGGUAAGGUAACGGCUUACCAAGGCAACGAUGCGUAGCCGACCUGAGAGGGUGAUCGGCCACACUGGAACUGAGACACGGUCCAGACUCCUACGGGAGGCAGCAGUAGGGAAUCUUCCGCAAUGGGCGAAAGCCUGACGGAGCAACGCCGCGUGAGUGAUGAAGGUCUUCGGAUCGUAAAACUCUGUUUUUAGGGAAGAACAAAUGUGUAAGUAACUAUGCACGUCUUGACGGUACCUAAUCAGAAAGCCACGGCUAACUACGUG
rnacentral:rRNA from 1 species